rnacentral:lncRNA from 1 species
UUUCUGUCUGCGAGGGCUGGGACUGAAUGCACAGGGCACGUCUGCUCUGCAAUGAGCCACUGAGGGCUGCAGCAGUGUGCUCGGAGUCUGGCCAAGAUAGUUGAACUGCUCCUGGGCCAGACUGGCAUUGCCAUGGGCGUGCCCUCUGAUUUUCCCAUGUCAAGGUGUUGCUGAAUGCUGCUCGAUGCCAGCUGGAGCAUCAUGAAGAUCGUGGCUAAAAAUGUUAAGGAUCAGAAGAUAAAGGCCAAGCACAUCAUGGGAUUCUGUUUGAUGACCUUUCCCCAUUUGCC